rnacentral:rRNA from 1 species
GACGAACGCUGGCGGCGUGCUUAACACAUGCAAGUCGAACGGAAAGGCCUCUUUCGGGGGGUACUCGAGUGGCGAACGGGUGAGUAACACGUGAGUAACCUGCCCUUGACUUUGGGAUAACUUCAGGAAACUGGGGCUAAUACCGGAUAGGAGAUCCUUCUGCAUGGUGGGGGUUGGAGAGUUUCGGCGGUUGGGGAUGGACUCGCGGCUUAUCAGCUUGUUGGUGGGGUAGUGGCUUACCAAGGCUUUGACGGGUAGCCGGCCUGAGAGGGUGACCGGCCACAUUGGGACUGAGAUACGGCCAAGACUCCUACGGGAGGCAGCAGUGGGGAAUAUUGCACAAUGGGUGGAAGCCUGAUGCAGCAACGCCGUGUGCGGGAUGACGGCCUUCGGGUUGUAAACCGCUUUCGCUCAUGACGAAGCUUUGUGUGACGGUAGUGGGUAAAGAAGCACCGACUAACUCCGUG